AUUGAACGCUGGCGGCAGGCCUAACACAUGCAAGUCGAGCGGAUGAAGGGAGCUUGCUCCUGGAUUCAGCGGCGGACGGGUGAGUAAUGCCUAGGAAUCUGCCUGGUAGUGGGGGAUAACGUCCGGAAACGGGCGCUAAUACCGCAUACGUCCUGAGGGAGAAAGUGGGGGAUCUUCGGACCUCACGCUAUCAGAUGAGCCUAGGUCGGAUUAGCUAGUUGGUGGGGUAAAGGCCUACCAAGGCGACGAUCCGUAACUGGUCUGAGAGGAUGAUCAGUCACACUGGAACUGAGACACGGUCCAGACUCCUAAGGGAGGCAGCCGUGGGGAAUAUUGGACAAUGGGCGAAAGCCUGAUCCAGCCAUGCCGCGUGUGUGAAGAAGGUCUUCGGAUUGUAAAGCACUUUAAGUUGGGAGGAAGGGCAGUAAGUUAAUACCUUGCUGUUUUGACGUUACCAACAGAAUAAGCACCGGCUAACUUCGUG
rnacentral:rRNA from 1 species